GCCUCUCAUUAUAAAUAUAAAAAUUAACCGCAUAAAUUUAUUUAAAAAAAAAAAAAAAAACAGAGGCUUGCUUGCUGUACGGAUAAAAAGAAAGAGAACAGAGUGGUAAAAAUACAGACGAAAGGCUUGAGAAAGAUAUAGUCACAAAGAGAGACAGAGUUCGUAUGGCACCAAGAGAGAAAUACGAUGUACACGGAGAUAGAAAUAAAGAGGCGAUGAGGCUUGAGACACGGAGAAAGAAACAGAGAGAGGCAGAAUCAGACCACCGGAAAAAAUCUAUGGCCAAUCAACAUUGGUAAAUUUUUUUAGAUUUGGUAAUGAAGUGGAAUCUUUCUACAAUCUAGAGUCUCUAAUUUAAUCAAAGCAAAGUGAUUUGUCAUUCACAAUACAAUGUCCAAAUAAAUUGAAAGCUAAUAUCAAGAAUCAGGUUAGGGGGGAACGAAUAUUUAUUACUUUGUUGCUACUUGCUGUUUCUUUUAGUUUUCAAAAUCUGUGGUGAAUGUGAGAGCAUGUUUAUUUCAGGUGGGGAUUUCAUUUGGUGUAGCAAUUGCUGCUGCAAUAAAGGUGGUAAAAGAAGGCUCAAUGAUAGAAAACUCAUUGUUCUACAGGAUCCUCUAGCUUACGAUUACUUAGGUGCAAAAAGAUUUUGAAGUGCUGUGGAAGGAACAUUUUCUUUGGUUAUUGCUUUUUUGUUGUAGAAACAUUUAUGAUAUUACCUUUUGAUAUGGUUUUCUGGGGUAAAUAUAAGGAAAAUGUCUGAUGAUUCAAAAAAAAUUCUUUUUAUAAAUUUGUAUUUACCUAAGUUAGACCAUAUUUGCUUUAAUAUGGUCUAACUUUGCUAAUUGUAGAUUACUUCUGAUAUUUAAAUACCAUGAAAUUUCAAUAAGUUGAGGAGACAAGUAGAGAAUCUGUCAUGUAGCCGAAAUUGCUACAGGUAUUUUUUUUUUAUUUGUUUUUAAAUUACGCCAUAACUUUAUUUUUAUGUUUAGUCAUUUGGUUGGAUAUGUUUGGAUUUAUGUAUUUGAGUUAGAUCUGGAUUUGGCUAUAGUAAUUGGAUUUAAGUCAAACCAUCUUUGAAAUGUAAGUGAGAGGGAGUGUAUAUGGUACUUUGCUGUAACUUUGUUCAAUGUUAUUUACUAAUGCUAAGGUUAUUAAGAUCUUACAUCAAGUGAGUUUAUCAACGAAUGAAACUUAAUAGUUAGGUUUAACUAAGAGGACAUGCUAGCUAUUAGUGAAGAAAAACUAAGUUGCAUAAUUUGGUAGUUUUUUCAUCUCUGUGAACAAUCAUUAACUUUGUAGAAUUCAAUUGAGUAGUUUUAAUUACUGUAUUUCAGAAAUCUAAAUUCUAAUUUGUGAUUUCUUUUAUUGUUUAUUUAUUUAUUUUUGGUAAUGAGCAUUUUUUAAAUUUGUGUCUUUGGUUUUUUGUUAAAUUCCUGAUUCAAAAUCUUGGUUUAUCUAUUUAUGUUUGACUUUUGUUGGAGCCUUUGGACUCGGUGGAAUUAUAAGGCUGUGGACAUAGGUUGUUUUAAAUUGGCAUAGACCUAUUAAUGUUCCUUAAGUUUUUAUUUUUUUGAUACCUCAUCAGUUCUUUCUUUGUUUUAGAGUUAACUUUCUGUUUGUGUAAUUAAUAUUUCAAUCUACAUAGAGAGCAAAGAGUAGAGAGGCAAUGAGACGUGAGAGAAUCAGAAGCAUUACCAACAAAGGAUGCAAUUUCAACAUGAUUGUUGUGCUAUAUUGAUCCUAAAGUUUCUAAUGAGGAGGAGAUGGAACUGCUAAAGAGAUCAGAUAGCGCACAAUUAUAAAGUAACUAGUAACAAGGGUUUUACUUGCAAAGUGGGGCUAGGCCAAUUGAAUCAAGCCAACUUACAUCCAGCCAGGCAUGAAUUCAAGAGAAGACCAACCCAAUUAAAUUUAAGUCCAAUUGGAGCAAGGAAUCAAAGGAAAUUUGCACCAAAUCCAAGUCCAAUUCGGAUUAGGAUUCCAGCCUGCACAUCAGUUAGUAUUUUCGGCAUAACUUUCGGGUCAGAUAUCCAAUCGAGAUGAUUUAAGUUGGGCUGGAAAGUUAACUUAAAGGGCUACAACUUUGUAGUUUACCAAAAGUCCGAAUUCUGCCGUUAAAUGGGCCAAAAUCGUCGGUUAACUGAAGCCUAAAAAUCUGGGAUUUUCUCCAAACGGGAAUUCAACUUGUAAUAGGAUUCCUUUACCUAUUUAAAGGCUCUUUAGGGCAAAAUUCAGGGAGGCUAGUGCUAGGGCUGAGGGCUGAAUGUAUAGAGAGCUGCGGCUACCUCUUCCAUGACAGUUAGUUUUAUUUUAUUUGUCUAGUUUAAUGUUUAGUAUUUUAUUUUUGUGUUUUCUUUCAAUUACCAUGAGUAGCUAAAUUUAUAAUUAGGGUUGAGGAUGAAACCUUGUUAAGGAUUAUCAGUAAUAUUUAUGUGAUUUGA